UAGCCAUGAUGUGGGUAAGCACUUAGGAAGUCCUUGAACCUCUCCAAGCAUUAGAAGAUGAUUUCUUCCUCUUUCUAUGAGAAAUUCAUAAUGACCCUUCUAAAGGUA